AUAGCUCAGUGGUAGAGCGCAUGCCAUGCAUGAGGUCCUGGGUUCAACUCCUAGU
rnacentral:tRNA from 1 species